rnacentral:rRNA from 1 species
UACAGAGGUCCCAAGCGUUGUUCGGAUUCAUUGGGCGUAAAGGGCGUGUAGGCGGCGCCGUAAGUCGGGUGUGAAAUCUCGGGGCUUAACUCCGAAACUGCAUUCGAUACUGCGGUGCUUGAGGACUGGAGAGGAGACUGGAAUUCAUGGUGUAGCAGUGAAAUGCGUAGAGAUCAUGAGGAAGACCAGUGGCGAAGGCGGGUCUCUGGACAGUUCCUGACGCUGAGACGCGAAAGCGUGGGGAGCGAACAGG